CUGGUUCUAAGAAAUGUGGGACCUUCAGAAAUAAGGGAGGGCGUGUGCACCUCCACACCCAGGGAAACCCUUGAAAGUUAACCGUGGUUGGUUUUGCAAAAAUGCUUUUUAAAACUAACUCUCCCCUGCCAUUGCUCUCUGCAUAGGCGAGUGUCUCCCUCAAACGCCUGAGGAUCUUUUCUCCCAUGAGGAGCUGGAACCUGACAGCAUCGAGCGACGGCCUGUCAAAGACAGCGGGGGCACGAACAGCAUCACCGUGAGGAAUGCCACAUUCACCUGGGCCAGGGGCGACCCUCCCACGCUGAAUGGACGCGGAUCUUGGUCAUGCACAGCAUGAGCUACUUGCCACAGGUGGAUGUCAUCAUUGUCAUGAGUGGCGGCAAGAUCUCUGAGAUGGGCUCCUACCAGGAGCUGCUGGCCCA